CCUACGGGAGGCAGCAGUGGGGAAUAUUGCGCAAUGGGCGAAAGCCUGACGCAGCGACGCCGCGUGCGGGAUGAAGGUCUUCGGAUCGUAAACCUCUGUCUGCAGGGAAGAACGGUCACUGUGCUAAUCAGCAUUGAAUUGACGGUACCUGCAAAGGAAGCAUCGGCUAACUCCGUGCCAGCAGCCGCGGUAAUACGGAGGGUCCGAGCGUUAAUCGGAAUUACUGGGCGUAAAGCGCUCGUAGGCGGUAUGUCAAGUCAAGGGUGAAAUCCCCGCGCUCAACGUGGGAACUGCCUUUGAAACUGGCAAACUUGAGUGGGUGAGAGGAUAGUGGAAUGCCAGGUGUAGGAGUGAAAUCCGUAGAUAUCUGGAGGAACAUCAGUGGCGAAGGCGACUAUCUGGAACAUAACUGACGCUGAGGAGCGAAGGCGUGGGUAGCAAACAGGAUUAGAUACCCCUGUAGUC
rnacentral:rRNA from 1 species